UAAUAGCUUCGGAAGGAAUGUUUAGGGAUCCCACCGAUGAAAGAAAGCCUAAAUUGUCAAUUGAAAUUUUCAGAAGUUGCAGUCUUAAAUUCCGAUGUAUCCCCAGAAGAUGCUACAUGAGCUACUUGUGAGUAUACAGUCAAUGCAGAGGUUUCCAAAGAAGCAGAUAAGCAGGAGAAUAUUUUUCUGGUUUGAGAUGCUGAAAUUUUUUCAUCAUAGCUUGCAGUGAAUAUCCUCAGGCACUUGGAGAAACAAAGGUCCUUUGUACUAGUUUGAUCGUAUUGCAUAGUUUAAACAGCAAGUGAACAUGGUCAGAUCAGAUCCCGGCAGCUAUGCCAGAGGAUGGCGAUGCAUUGGUCCCUCCGAGUCUGUUCAAACUCGAUGGAGCUCUUGGUUGAUGAUCACAUGAAGACUAGAGGGUUGCUGCUCUUUUAUUGAUAUGACUUGGAAGCACAAGCCAUCAUUCUAUAAGGUCAAUGCCUGAACAAUUGUAAUUCGAGUCAAUGACUACUGAAGGGCUUGCAUACUGUGGACUUCUGAUGGGACUUUGAUAACGGUGGGUGAUGGUCAACCUCUUUGGUACUGAGAGAUCAAGCAUCCUGUCAUUUACUGAUGUCAUCUUGUGCUUGUGGACCUUCAUCUGUUUGACCUUAUUGCUUUUUAUUUUAUUGCCUCUGUUGUCGUACUCAGUUGGACUUUUGGUCUAGAUGGCAUAUGAUAAAAGAUAUCUAAUCAAAGCUCAUUUCUCAGAGAAAAGACUGAUACCACCUGCCUUUGGGAGCCAGUCAUAAAAGCCAAUAAUAAUGAUCUCACUGAUGAACCCACUGCAGAAUUGUCUUCUGAUUUCCCAGCAACCAAGCUUAUGGUCUCAAACAUCUGUUGCUGCUGAGUGCAUACACAUGGGACUGCAGCUAUUAUAUCAAUUAUCAUGAGGUUGGGAGCAUGAAAAGUAGAGCAAAUAUCGCAGGGGUUUCGGUUGAUGUGAAGUAGAUCUUGGCAUAGUAUGAUCAUGUUGGUUUAGGCUGGAACAGAAUGAUGGCGAAGCCUUAGGGGUGAGUAAAUGGUGGUGACACUGGAAUGCUCUAUUGGCCCCCCUCUCCUCUCCCCACACAACUCUCGAGAACCCAAGGUUUACUCUGUGGAAGGCCAGUCAUUGCAGUGUUGCAUGUGGAUGGAUGGUGGUGGUGCUCAUGACCCAUCGCUACAAGGAAGGGCUGCAGGGAUUCUAUCGAUGUUGCCUUCUUGAUUCCUCCUACGGGUUCUUGCAUGGAUCCAAGAACAAAUCAUGAGCAGCACUCGAGUGCUGCACUUGAUAACCAGUCAAAAAAGCACCCAAACAUCAUGGCAGCUUCCAGGAGGAGGCAUCGAGGUACUUUUCACCAUCAUACCAGACUAAAAAGUUCUCAUUGGAUUGUGCCUCCAAUGCAGGCAGAUCUGGCAAAAUGAUAGGGAUGGAAGGGUCACUUUGGGAUGGGGACAUAAAGGUAGAAGACCUUUCUCUAGAUUUGCCAGUACAACUUGGGAUGGAAAGGGCAGGCAGAUCAGAUAAGUCUGCUUGCCAUGGAACUGCAUCCAACUUGGUAUGCCGGAGUGAGAUUUGUCUUGCAAAAGGUAGGAUUGCAUGGCUAGAGUGUUGCAGGUGCCAUUGACUUCCAUGUCACUGAAUGCCCCCACAUGGUCCACUCAUGAUGAGAAAUGCAGAGCCCCUUAAUGUAUGCUGGAACUUUCUUCUAUGACUUUUUAUAUUCUGCUGUCCCUGCUCCACCAACUGGUGGUAGGUCUCCUGGAGUCAAACUGUACCGAUGCAUGAUGAGCAGUUUGAAAGCCAUGCCCUAUUAAUGACUAGGUUAAUUUCCUUGGAUCCAAGGAGCUGCAUUUAAGGGAAGGAAAUUAGUGAAGUGCUAUGAUGGCAACCUGGGAUCAUAGAUGGAGGUCUGCUGCAAGUCCCAGUGUGACUGUAGAACCCACAGAUCUUGUACCAGCCUCUCAUGGACUGAUCACUGAUGGAAGCUCCUCUAAUACCUACAAGUCUGCAGUUGAGCAAGUUGUGCUUCUUGCCAAGAAAAUCUGUGAUGGCAAAUUAUGUUCUACAUUUAUUUGCUGAUAAAACCAUCUUUCCAUAAGAUGGCACAGGAUAUUAAAUGAGUGAUGUUUCAGAAGAAUGAUGGAAACAAAAGAAGGCCAGAAACUAAUGUCAAGCUUUCAGAUUCAUGUUUGCAAAAGAAGCUAGUUCUGAAAGAUGGAAACAAAUGCCCCAAACUCAAACACUCGUGAAACAGUUUCAAGGUUGGAAGUAUAGAUAAUAUGCAUUAUUUCAAUUAAUCUCAAGUCUGCAUUGCUCAUAGAAAUGGGACUUUAUCAUCUCAAUGGAAUAAGCAGCAGCGGAAAUCUUGUCUGCAAUGUUCUGCUCUACCAUCAUGAUAAUUUCCACAUUGUCCAGCAUAUCCAUCUGCAAAUCUUACCUGCCAAGCACAGGUAUUGUAUAAGCUUCUACCUAUAAUACCUUUCAGUAGACUGAAGAAUGUUGAUAGACAGUAGAACUGCAAAUCAGAUCAGUGAUCACAACCAUAUUUAACCUAGAUUCUUCUACCGAUCGGAUCAUGAGGCUGUGGCUUUUUGUCAUGGGACAUCACCAGAAAUAUGACUAGGAAUGCAACAAUAGAUCCCUCUACUAGGGUUUGUAAACAACAUAUGUAUUCUCAUCUAGUAGAGGUGGAAGUUUAGUAGUUGACUGACACAUGAACUAGGCAUACUCAUCCACAACGAGUGCUUUACUGUUGGAUAUAUAAAGAAUCCAAGAAAAUUAUCAAGCUUUUGGUCAUGUGUAAUGCAAACUGUGGAUCACUUUUGAAAACUUGAACAACAAAGUUCAGCUUGACAGAGAGAGAUAACAUGCUUACAUCUAGUUUCCUCGAGCAUUACGGCGGAAUCUUUAUAGACUUGAUGAGAUCUUAGAUCACUGAUGUGCUUUAUCAUUCAAAAUUUUUAAAAGAAAUAUUACUUUUAGCUUCAGAACUAGAAUUUUUUUCUUCUGAAUGUGUAUAAAGUAUAUGUAUACAUAUAGUGUCUAUAAACCCA